AAAAGGGUGUGAUCAGAGGAGGCUGGACACCCAAGAGCUCUAACAUAUCCAGGAUUAGAGGAUGCUAAAGGAGCAUGGUGGCUGCCAGAGUGAUCAGUGAGACAUUCUGGUGCUGGAACAAAGAAUAAUGAUGACCUGUGAGUUAGCUGAGUCAAUGGUAACUGGGAAGCUGUAUUGGACAUAUGUUCCUGACCUACCUUUAUUCUCCUAUAUCCCAUAUGAGCAGCCUUGCCUCAAGAUUUUAGACCUUGUGGGACAGACAAUCAAACAGAAAAGGUGUAAUCACUUAUUUUUCUUAAAUGUCAUCAGCAAUUCAGUCUAAAUCAUUUACUAGUCUAGGGAUCAACCAAUAUUGGAAAUAUCAGUCUUCAUUUGGAAGGCUGAAUCUCCACACUUUCAGAGACAUAUUUGGACUUUAGAAGCAGUUCCCCAUGAUGUUAUAUUAGCAAGAGAUAAAGUUGGGACAGGAUCUGGAUUUCAAUCAAGUGUUACUGCAUGUAUUAAGACUCAUUAAAUUGUCAAGUUAAAAUUG